UCUCCUCAUUAAAGAUGGGCUGAGCGAUGAGUCGUCUUCCCGGCUUGGGGAAGUAGGCCUGCAGCACUCGGUCCCUCUCUUCCCAUGAUGCUUUGCGCAGGAUACCGGUGGGCUCUCGGAUCACAAUGAACCGCUCCUGGGUCAGAAAAGAACACGCGCGGGGCAUACACAGUUCUCUGCCAGUGAUUGUACAGAGCCGGGCUCACCCCGGCGGCCCUCGACAGACAGCCUGUCAAUGAGCCGUGUGGAGACGCCCCACUCCCAGCACACCACUGAGUUCCUCUGGGCUCUGUUGACAGCCUGUUCUGGUCCGUGGCCCAUGGUUGUAUUCGGGACCCCUGCAGAAGUCCAGACUGGAGGCAGGUGUGUUGCUCAUCCACCUGAGUGCUGCACGGCUCUCCGCUCACGAGACAUGGCUGCACGAGGCUCCCUCAGUCCCUAAUGCGACAUUAUUCAGCCUCCUGCUCUCCCUCAGUCCCUAAUGCGACAUUAUUCAGCCUCCUGCUCUC